rnacentral:lncRNA from 10 species
AAGGGGUGAUGUAUUUAGAUUGAGAGCCCACCUGGAUAGUGGGUCCUCUCCCCUCCCGUUUUAGAUUCUCAGGCAGUUCUUUAUAGCAGUGUGAAAACGGACUAAUACACAGUGCUUUGUGCUUGGAAAACGGCAUGAAGGAGAUGGAGGUAAUGUGCGAUGACUGAGAGAAUUUGUAGAACAGCAAAAACCACUGAAAUGCCAUUCUUCAAUAGAGGCACCAGAUCUCCAGGUGUGCCUAAAGAAUCUUGGGGAUGUGUCUUCUGAAGCUAAAGAGACCCCUAAGCAUCCUGCAAGAUACCAGUGCACAACAAUUUGGGACAUAGCUUAAGCUUUCUGCUCGAUGCUGGCGACAAAGAGGAGAAAGACAACUUCUACUCUCAGACAACUUAGUCUGCUUUAGGAGUUACAAACACAGACAAUUUCAACACUGGAUGAAAAUGAUGGGACAAAGGUAAAAGGAGAGAGGAAUGCAUCUCAGCUGAGUUUCAGAAAAAAAAAAAGUUUUGAAGAGAUCUCAAUGUUAGGAAGCCAACAAGGCCUGCAAAAGUCACCUAGAUCAUGAAAUUGACUAUGUCAGGGGAGGCAAUUCGUCACAAUCGUGUUUGAAAAUGAGGAUAAGCAUGGAGAGCCAAUGAUUACAUUUCACAAUGUCCUUCAUGGGUAUGUGAAUAUGAUAGUAGGAAUCUUAGCUCUUCACUUAAAGAAAGAAGCAUUAAAAUUUGGAAUUUUAGAGAGUGAGAUGAUAAAAAGAUACGUGGUAUGGUAUUACCACCUUCUUGGAAUUUCUGAAAAACCAUGUUCA